GCACUCCCCCAGAAAAUUUUUGUUGUUACAUGCUCUGAGAUUGAUUCUAACGCAAUCUGGCUAAAGAAAUGAGGGUACUGCUGCUUUGAGGGUACUGGUGGUUAAGCCACAAAAUGAAGAUGUCCUAUAAAACAAAUGCUCGCCACGACUCAACAGCAAAUGCUUGUAACACGACUGUUCCCUGUCUCUCGGGAAGUACGAAAAGAAUUGUUGGGUGUUCGACUGUUUCCAGGAAAGAACAAAUCUGUGCUCAGACUCGAGAAGUAGCGUGUACUAAGAUAGUUCUUCCGGAAGUCAUAGAUAAAGGUCUCAAUAUUGUUGAAGUAGCACAUGAUAAUCAGCCAGUAGUCAAGAGAUUUGUCACUGAUGAUCUUAACCUUACAAACUCGUACGACACAUGGCAUGGCACUAAGAAUGUAGCAAAGAAGAUGAAGAAAGUAGAAUUGGGACCAAAAAGGCUCAAGGAAAGACGUGGUUUCCAGAGUUAUCUGACAAACGUAAAAGUACGAAAGUUCACUUGUACUACUGUAUGAAGAACUGUGAGCAGUCAGCAGACAAUCUAAGAAAGAACAUUCUGAAUAUCGUUAAACAUUAUCAGAACGAGCACUCAGAUUGUGACGAAGCGUCACCCUGUAAGCGUCCAGGGUACAAGCCCACGAAGAUAAAACUAGAGGAUCCUCUUGCAAUCGAGUCAUUCACGUCAGCACUAAAAGACACCCUUAUUUACAAGAAUGCCGAAUCAUAUUGUCGAUGUCGAGACACAUUCUGGGUGGAGUCUUUCAAUCACCAGUUGCUCACAUACAUCUCGAAAUGUGUACACUUUGGGGAAGCUACAUUCAACAUGAGAAUGAACCUUGCUAUUAUGGACUGGAACGAGAAUGUACGUAGAGAGUGUACAAGUGAACGACUGGUUCAGGACAUGAGAAGACCGGAUCGUAGGACUCCCGUAAGAGUGCUGAAGGAAAAAUCGUUCAACUUUGCCGGAGAAUAUGGGAGAAUUACGAGCAGCAGAGAAAAGUUGACCUCAGUGAGUUUGUAGAGGACGUGCAACCUGAGCAAUCAGAUGAGCCAGUAGAUGAAAACGAGGACCUAUUAAACGAUGGUGUACAUGUACUUGACGAAGAUCUUUAUGAAGACAUAUAAACAUUUUAUAUUUGCAUUUUACAUAAUUAAACAAUAAAGGAAGUAGAAGACUGGAAGUCUGUGUAUGGAACUCCAUCUGGAUUUGGGAAUCGUUCACGCACCUCCUGGAAAAGAUUCGUGAGGGUCAGUUGUUCCCUCUGUUGGAUGCUAAUGAUGAUCGACCCAUUGGACGUCAGAUAAAAAUACAAUCGACCUAAGGAACAGUGAGUACUGCCACGUGCAGAGUGUGACUCUUUCCCUAACCAAAGUAGUUUGUGCUUUUUGCGCUGUACUCCCCCCUUGGAUGUGUGACUGUGUUUUGUAGGUUUGUGCUUUUUGCGCUGUACUCCCCCCUUGGAUGUGUGACUGUGUUUUGUAGUUUGUGCUUUUUGCGCUGUACUCCCCCCUUGCAUGUGUGACUGUGUUUUGUAGUUUGUGCUUUUUGCGCUGUACUCCCCCCUUGCAUUUGUGACUGUGUUUUGUAGUUUGUGCUUUUUGCGCUGUACUCCCCCCUUGCAUGUGUGACUGUGUUUUGUAGUUUGUGCUUUUUGCGCUGUACUCCCCCCUUGCAUGUGUGACUGUGUUUUGUAGUUUGUGUGGUUUUUGCGCUGUACUCCCCUCUUGCAUGUGUGACGGUGUUUAGUCACUAGCAAUAGUUUUACGUUCCCGUGAGUGGGUUCAAUUCACUAGCAAUAGUUUUGCGUUCCCGUGAGUGGGUUCAAUUCACUAGCAAUAGUUUUGCGUUCCCGUGAGUGGGUUCAAUUCACUAGCAAUAGUUUUGCCGUGAGUGCAUGGGUUCAAUUCACUAGCAAUAGUUUUAUGUUCCCGUGAGUGGGUUCAAUUCACUAGCAAUAGUUUUGCGUUCCCGUGAGUGGGUUCAAUUCACUAGCAAUAGUUUUAAGUUGCCGUGAGUGCAUGGGUUCAAUUCACUAGCAAUAGUUUUACGUUCCCGUGAGUGGGUUCAAUUCACUAGCAAUAGUUUUACGUUCCCUUGAGUGGGUUCAAUUCACUAGCAAUAGUUUUGCGUUCCCGUGAGUGGGUUCAAUUCACUAGCAAUAGUUUUGCGUUCCCGUGAGUGGGUUCAAUUCACUAGCAAUAGUUUUAAGUUGCCGUGAGUGCAUGGGUUCAAUUCACUAGCAAUAGUUUUACGUUCCCGUGAGUGGGUUCAAUUCACUAGCAAUAGUUUUAAGUUGCCGUGAGUGCAUGGGUUCAAUUCACUAGCAAUAGUUUUACGUUCCCGUGAGUGGGUUCAAUUCACUAGCAAUAGUUUUGCGUUCCCGUGAGUGGAUUCAAUUCACUAGCAAUAGUUUUACGUUCCCGUGGGUGGGUUCAAUUCACUAGCAAUAGUUUUACGUUCCCGUGAGUGGGUUCAAUUCACUAGCAAUAGUUUUACGUUCCCGUGAGUGCAUGGGUUCAAUUCACUAGCAAUAGUUUUACGUUCCCGUGAGUGGGUUCAAUUCACUAGCAAUAGUUUUGCGUUCCCGUGGGUGGGUUCAAUUCACUAGCAAUAGUUUUACGUUCCCGUGAGUGGGUUCAAUUCACUAGCAAUAGUUUUAAGUUGCCGUGAGUGGGUUCAAUUCACUAGCAAUAGUUUUAAGUUGCCGUGAGUGCAUGGGUUCACUUCACUAGCAAUAGUUUUACGUUCCCUUGAGUGGGUUCAAUUCACUAGCAAUAGUUUUGCGUUCCCGUGAGUGGGUUCAAUUCACUAGCAAUAGUUUUACUUUCCCGUGAGUGGGUUCAAUUCACUAGCAAUAGUUUUACGUUCCCGUGAGUGCAUGGGUUCAAUUCACUGACAAUAGUUUUACGUUCUUGUGAGUGGGUUCAAUUCACUAGCAAUAGUUUUGCGUUCCCUUGAGUGGGUUCAAUUCACUAGCAAUAGUUUUGCGUUUCCGUGAGUGGGUUCAAUUCACUAGCAAUAGUUUUGCGUUCCCGUGAGUGGGUUAAAUUCACUAGCAAUAGUUUUAAGUUGCCGUGAGUGCAUGGGUUCAAUUCACUAGCAAUAGUUUUAAGUUGCCGUGAGUGCAUGGGUUCAAUUCACUAGCAAUAGUUUUACGUUCCCGUGAGUGGGUUCAAUUCACUAGCAAUAGUUUUGCGUUCCCGUGAGUGGAUUCAAUUCACUAGCAAUAGUUUUACGUUCCCGUGGGUGGGUUCAAUUCACUAGCAAUAGUUUUACGUUCCCGUGAGUGGGUUCAAUUCACUAGCAAUAGUUUUACGUUCCCGUGAGUGCAUGGGUUCAAUUCACUAGCAAUAGUUUUACGUUCCCGUGAGUGGGUUCAAUUCACUAGCAAUAGUUUUACGUUCCCGUGAGUGCAUGGGUUCAAUUCACUAGCAAUAGUUUUAUGUUCCCGUGAGUGGGUUCAAUUCACUAGCAAUAGUUUUGCGUUCCCGUGGGUGGGUUCAAUUCACUAGCAAUAGUUUUACGUUCCCGUGAGUGGGUUCAAUUCACUAGCAAUAGUUUUAAGUUGCCGUGAGUGGGUUCAAUUCACUAGCAAUAGUUUUAAGUUGCCGUGAGUGCAUGGGUUCACUUCACUAGCAAUAGUUUUACGUUCCCUUGAGUGGGUUCAAUUCACUAGCAAUAGUUUUGCGUUCCCGUGAGUGGGUUCAAUUCACUAGCAAUAGUUUUACUUUCCCGUGAGUGGGUUCAAUUCACUAGCAAUAGUUUUACGUUCCCGUGAGUGCAUGG